AGCCUAUAAGCUCAAAUUGUUAGAGCGUUGUGUUUACACAAAGGUGUAGGUUCGACUCCUACAUAGGCUC
rfam:Spinacia oleracea cultivar SynViroflay scaffold10068.con0008.1, whole genome shotgun sequence.